AGCCUUUAGAAUCUGGAAGAGAGAUCAACGGAGGACAAGAGGAUAAAUCACACCCACAAUUAGCCAACUGCAAUGGAAAUUCAUUACUAAAAGUCAAUUUGCAGUUGGGCAAAAUGACAGCUGCAAGAAGACAGAGAAACACAUUUCAUUUGAAUUGUGAUGAAUUUAAAAUGUACACAGCAGGCUGCUGUGCAUUUUCAGGGAAACACUGACCUA
rnacentral:lncRNA from 1 species